AGGUCAGCCCUGCAAGUAGGAAGAAUUUACUUUCUGUUUUGAGAGAGGGAGAGACAGAAUGUCGCUGCGCUCUCCGGGGUCGUUGAUUUAUUUUGGUACUGUACAAUAAAUCGUUUCUUAGAUUAGAAGGAGCUGCGUAUGAGGGUUUCUCUGUAUGCCUCUGAUUCCUACACACACACUUGCUAUCUGUUAUACUCUGCUGAAGCCAGGAGGAGCAGAGCGGCGCAUCGGAAGAGUGCUGGACGCCAAAGCACUUCAGCUGUUCGCAGUCUAAACAGACAUUCAACAGAAAAAGUUAUGGCUCAUAACUCACAGGUUAUGGAGUCAGCCGCCCAGGUGAUUUGGCAGGCUCUUGAGAGGGUCCAUCACAGAACCACAGCAGGAGCCAAGAUCCAUGUCACCAAAAGUUUGUUUGAGCUGAGGCUACAUCCGGGGGACAGCAUCAGAGAACAUGUGACAAAAAUGGUGGCUGUGUUAUACUGACUGAGACAGUUAAACGUGAAUUUUCCAGAAGAUUUGAAUGUUCACAUUCUUCUGAGCUUAGAGUUAUGACAAUUUGUGCCUAACUCUAGAAGCCAUGCCCCCUGCCGACCUAACGUUGCAGUUUGUCUCGGGUCGCCUAUGCGAUUAAGAGGAACAUCGGCAGAGAGAGGGGCACGCUGGCCCAGGCAGUCCUGCUUCCAAUAGUGGGGGGGGGGCAGUGAAAGCGGACACCGUGAAGGCUUUUGCUACGAGAUGUUAUCGUGGCUUGGAAACCCACCUGCAUAAACAGUCCCAAGGAAGCUGCACAGAAUGCCUCCAAGGCCAUUGCCCCGGGCAACCAGAUUAGGGGAACGGCCCGGCGUGGGAACGCAAGGAAAGGUCCCAGGGGAACUGAGAGAGAUGCAACGUCACGUCAUUUGGCAGUUUCCAUAGCAACAGUGAAGGACAGCGACCAGAGCAACGUACAGCGCUGGGUAAUUGACAGCGGAGCCAGUCAUCAUCUGCUGCCAUCUGGUGGCCAAAUGCGAAACUGCAGAGCUGUUUCCAAAGGAAAAACAGUCACGCUUGCCGAUGGAUCCAAGAGACAGCUGACAACUGUUGGCUCUGUUUUUCUUCCUUUUUUUCAGGCUGAACUGGAAGCAUUUGUGGUCCCAGGGAUGAAAUGCUGUCUAUGGUCUGUGUAUUCUUUAGUUAGAGAUGGGUUUAAGGUUUGCUUUGAGAAUAAUGCAUGCUCUAUUUCCAGGGGCGGGACUGGAACACUGAACAACAUUCAGUAUUGAAUGUCAGGCUAUUCUGGAAACAUCUCAAGCAGGGUACCUACGAUCUGCAUCUGGGACGCGGGUGGCGCUGUGGUUAAACCACAGAGCCUAGGACUUGCCAAUCAGAAGGUCGGUGGUUCGAAUCCCUGCGACACGGUGAGCUCCUGUUGCUCGGUCCCUGCUCCUGCCAACCUAGCAGUUCGAAAGCACGUCAACGUGCAAGUAGAUAAAUAGGUACCACUCUGGCGGGAAGGUAAACGGCGUUUCCGUGCGCUGCUCUGGUUCGCCAGAAGCGGCUUAGUCAUGCUGGCCACAUGACCUGGAAGCUGUACGCCGGCUCCCUCGGCCAGUAAAGCGAGAUGAGCGCCACAACACCAGAGUCAGUCACAACUGGACCUAAUGAUCAGGGGUCCCUUUACCUUUAUCUUACGAUCUGCAUGGACUGCUUGCAUGGCUUUAGACACUUAUUAGGUCCAUCAAUCACCUUAUAGCAUAUAUUAAACACAAAAAACAGCGACAAUUUGUUGUGGACAAAGGACAGCUGGACAUAUAAAGGGCCCCAUCACCUUCAGUAGCUUAGGGCCUCAUCAAACCCCAAUCCGGCCCUGGUUGGGGAGAAUCGAACUCACCUCUCUCUGGCGUAUCCCAGUCGAAGAUCCACCAGGCGGAAUACAGGACGCUGAUAGGCCAGUAGGAGGUGAAGAGCAGGUAGACCAGGAGAACGGAGAAGAAGGCACC